rnacentral:rRNA from 1 species
CAGCAGCCGCGGUAACACGAGGGGGGCAAGCGUUGUUCGGAUUUACUGGGCGUAAAGGGCGCGUAGGUGGUUAUGUAAGUGAGAUGUGAAAUCCCCGGGCUCAACCUGGGAAUGGCGAUGGAGACUGCAAGGCUAGAAUCUGGCAGAGGGGGGUAGAAUUCCACGUGUAGCAGUGAAAUGCGUAGAUAUGUGGAGGAACACCGAUGGCGAAGGCAGCCCCCUGGGCUAAGAUUGACGCUCAUGCACGGAAGCGUGGGGAGCAAACAGGAUUAGAUACCCGCGUAGUCCCUGUCUCUUAUAC